UCAAAAACACAGCACUGCACCAGCUACUAAGAAGGAGAAAAAUGACUGUUACAGCUGAACCCAGGACAGUGCUUCUCUCAUUAUUUUGUAUAGUCAGAUAAUGAGAAUUAUCACCUGGAGAGACUCAAAUUUAUUUACUGUUUUUUAUUUCAUUAGGAGGCUUCUGGAUGUUGGAGCUAGUAAUGUUCCUGAUUUGUGCCUUCAUAAGUCAAGUGCUUGAGUUCAACUUCAAGCUAUAAUUGUUCUUAAGAUUUACAUUUUAGAUAGCCUUUUUUCCAGCAGUGCAGGUGUUGCAAACCUUAAAUUAUAAAUUCACAAAGCUGCUUCUGCCCUGAUAAAGAUGGAACUAAUAGGUAAGGAAAACAGUAUCUCCUUCCCAUACCUGUUUUCUUAAUGAUAAUGGAAUUUAAAAUAAGUACAAAGGUCUGUUUCAGCUAAAUAUCUCAUGUUCACUGGUAUUUGAAAAGAGAAUAAUGAGCUGAAAGUGUUUCUGUGCCCACCUGCAGUGUUAAUUGAAAGUGGUGAAGACAAAGAGGUAGAACCAGGCUCGAGGGACCUUUCUUACAGAAACUUUAUAUGAACCAUCUUUUCCUGUAUCUGAAUGUAUUGUCUAAGCCAUCCUCACUAAGCUGAAAGGCUUCAAUGUCUCCGCUUUGCCAUAUACAGUGCGCACAGCAGAAGAAACAGACACAAAUGUGGACCUAGCCUCCAAAUUUACAACUGAGAAGAAAUGUCCGACAUCAAGCUGACACUCAGCAGGCAGCACUGUCGGUUGUGUGGGUUUUGCCGUUGACUUGAGAGCUCAGUCAGAGAGCCUUCAGGCUUGGACACCCCUGCCCUCAGAGAGAGGGGGGAUUUACUAGGUACAGGAGAAAAGCAGGAUGAAGAAUGAUCGAUGGAGGAGUGAACAGGAAGAACAAUCAGCUCAGAAAAGGAUCUGAGGGAUUGGAUUAAAGGUGCCAGGGGUAUUCUGGGAGCAAAAAGCAAGACCUCAUUCAUCUCCCAUGUAUAGGAAUUGAAUAUGUAAAAAUCAGUGGCCUUUCUUAAAAUAAGAGUCCUAACUGCUAACUGAAAAAGAAUGAGUGGCCCCAGAGGUAUACUAGUAAUAGCUGUGACAUUGAAUCACUGAUUGGAGCCCUUGGUCUGUUGAAAGGUAUGGAUAAUGAGGAACAGCAGGCCCCAACCCUUGGAUGACUACCCAGAAGAAAAUGGGCAGUAGAUGGGUAAAAGGUAACUUUUACAGAGGGCAGUGCAGUCACUGACUUGAGAAACUCACUGACUCAAAAGAAGAGAAAGACUGAGCAUGGUGCCUGAUUAGCAUGAGAGGCGAGAGGGACUUUUAACCAAUAAGGGGUGGAAUAUUAAUUAAUGAAUAAAUUGUGUAACUCUCAACCAAUGGACACUGAUUCCUUUGUCAAAAUGUAUAAAUAGCUUAAAGUUACAAUCAUUGGGGUGCUUGAUUUGUGGAGGCUUCCACUGAGUACCUGUAAUGCAUGGGAACCUAGCUGAGAGUUGAUUCUCUCUGAUGACUGAGAGACAUAACAAAGUAUGUUGUUUG